rnacentral:rRNA from 1 species
AGCGUACACGGUGGAUGCCCUGGCAGUCAGAGGCGAUGAAGGACGUGCUAAUCUGCGAUAAGCGUCGGUAAGGUGAUAUGAACCGUUAUAACCGGCGAUUUCCGAAUGGGGAAACCCAGUGUGAUUCGUCACACUAUCAUUAACUGAAUCCAUAGGUUAAUGAGGCGAACCGGGGGAACUGAAACAUCUAAGUACCCCGAGGAAAAGAAAUCAACCGAGAUUCCCCCAGUAGCGGCGAGCGAACGGGGAGCAGCCCAGAGCCUGAAUCAGUGUGUGUGUUAGUGGAAGCGUCUGGAAAGGCGCGCGAUACAGGGUGACAGCCCCGUACACAAAAAUGCACAUGCUGUGAGCUCGAUGAGUAGGGCGGGACACGUGGUAUCCUGUCUGAAUAUGGGGGGACCAUCCUCCAAGGCUAAAUACUCCUGACUGACCGAUAGUGAACCAGUACCGUGAGGGAAAGGCGAAAAGAACCCCGGCGAGGGGAGUGAAAAAGAACCUGAAACCGUGUACGUACAAGCAGUGGGAGCACGCUUAGGCGUGUGACUGCGUACCUUUUGUAUAAUGGGUCAGCGACUUAUAUUCUGUAGCAAGGUUAACCGAAUAGGGGAGCCGAAGGGAAACCGAGUCUUAACUGGGCGUUAAGUUGCAGGGUAUAGACCCGAAACCCGGUGAUCUAGCCAUGGGCAGGUUGAAGGUUGGGUAACACUAACUGGAGGACCGAACCGACUAAUGUUGAAAAAUUAGCGGAUGACUUGUGGCUGGGGGUGAAAGGCCAAUCAAACCGGGAGAUAGCUGGUUCUCCCCGAAAGCUAUUUAGGUAGCGCCUCGUGAAUUCAUCUCCGGGGGUAGAGCACUGUUUCGGCAAGGGGGUCAUCCCGACUUACCAACCCGAUGCAAACUGCGAAUACCGGAGAAUGUUAUCACGGGAGACACACGGCGGGUGCUAACGUCCGUCGUGAAGAGGGAAACAACCCAGACCGCCAGCUAAGGUCCCAAAGUCAUGGUUAAGUGGGAAACGAUGUGGGAAGGCCCAGACAGCCAGGAUGUUGGCUUAGAAGCAGCCAUCAUUUAAAGAAAGCGUAAUAGCUCACUGGUCGAGUCGGCCUGCGCGGAAGAUGUAACGGGGCUAAACCAUGCACCGAAGCUGCGGCAGCGACGCUUAUGCGUUGUUGGGUAGGGGAGCGUUCUGUAAGCCUGUGAAGGUGUACUGUGAGGUAUGCUGGAGGUAUCAGAAGUGCGAAUGCUGACAUAAGUAACGAUAAAGCGGGUGAAAAGCCCGCUCGCCGGAAGACCAAGGGUUCCUGUCCAACGUUAAUCGGGGCAGGGUGAGUCGACCCCUAAGGCGAGGCCGAAAGGCGUAGUCGAUGGGAAACAGGUUAAUAUUCCUGUACUUGGUGUUACUGCGAAGGGGGGACGGAGAAGGCUAUGUUGGCCGGGCGACGGUUGUCCCGGUUUAAGCGUGUAGGCUGGUUUUCCAGGCAAAUCCGGAAAAUCAAGGCUGAGGCGUGAUGACGAGGCACUACGGUGCUGAAGCAACAAAUGCCCUGCUUCCAGGAAAAGCCUCUAAGCAUCAGGUAACAUCAAAUCGUACCCCAAACCGACACAGGUGGUCAGGUAGAGAAUACCAAGGCGCUUGAGAGAACUCGGGUGAAGGAACUAGGCAAAAUGGUGCCGUAACUUCGGGAGAAGGCACGCUGAUAUGUAGGUGAAGCGACUUGCUCGUGGAGCUGAAAUCAGUCGAAGAUACCAGCUGGCUGCAACUGUUUAUUAAAAACACAGCACUGUGCAAACACGAAAGUGGACGUAUACGGUGUGACGCCUGCCCGGUGCCGGAAGGUUAAUUGAUGGGGUCAGCGCAAGCGAAGCUCUUGAUCGAAGCCCCGGUAAACGGCGGCCGUAACUAUAACGGUCCUAAGGUAGCGAAAUUCCUUGUCGGGUAAGUUCCGACCUGCACGAAUGGCGUAAUGAUGGCCAGGCUGUCUCCACCCGAGACUCAGUGAAAUUGAACUCGCUGUGAAGAUGCAGUGUACCCGCGGCAAGACGGAAAGACCCCGUGAACCUUUACUAUAGCUUGACACUGAACAUUGAGCCUUGAUGUGUAGGAUAGGUGGGAGGCUUUGAAGUGUGGACGCCAGUCUGCAUGGAGCCGACCUUGAAAUACCACCCUUUAAUGUUUGAUGUUCUAACGUUGACCCGUGAUCCGGGUUGCGGACAGUGUCUGGUGGGUAGUUUGACUGGGGCGGUCUCCUCCUAAAGAGUAACGGAGGAGCACGAAGGUUGGCUAAUCCUGGUCGGACAUCAGGAGGUUAGUGCAAUGGCAUAAGCCAGCUUGACUGCGAGCGUGACGGCGCGAGCAGGUGCGAAAGCAGGUCAUAGUGAUCCGGUGGUUCUGAAUGGAAGGGCCAUCGCUCAACGGAUAAAAGGUACUCCGGGGAUAACAGGCUGAUACCGCCCAAGAGUUCAUAUCGACGGCGGUGUUUGGCACCUCGAUGUCGGCUCAUCACAUCCUGGGGCUGAAGUAGGUCCCAAGGGUAUGGCUGUUCGCCAUUUAAAGUGGUACGCGAGCUGGGUUUAGAACGUCGUGAGACAGUUCGGUCCCUAUCUGCCGUGGGCGCUGGAGAACUGAGGGGGGCUGCUCCUAGUACGAGAGGACCGGAGUGGACGCAUCACUGGUGUUCGGGUUGUCAUGCCAAUGGCACUGCCCGGUAGCUAAAUGCGGAAGAGAUAAGUGCUGAAAGCAUCUAAGCACGAAACUUGCCCCGAGAUGAGUUCU